rnacentral:rRNA from 1 species
AAUCAACGCUGGCGGCGUGCCUCAGACAUGCAAGUCGAACGAUUAAAGCUCUCUUCGGAGAGUGCAUAGAGUGGCGCACGGGUGAGUAACACGUAAGUAAUCUACCUUCGAGUGGGGGAAUAACGUCCGGAAACGGACGCUAAUACCGCAUAAUGCAGCGGCAUCGUAAGAUGACAGUUGUUAAAGAUUUAUCGCUUGAAGAGGAGCUUGCGGCAGAUUAGCUAGUUGGUAAGGUAAUGGCUUACCAAGGCUACGAUCUGUAACCGGUCUUAGAGGACGGUCGGUCACACUGACACUGAAUAACGGGUCAGACUCCUACGGAGGCAGCAGUCGGGAAUUUUGGGCAAUGGGCGAAAGCCUGACCCAGCAACGCCGCGUGAAGGAUGAAGUAUUUCGGUAUGUAAACUUCGAAAGAAUAGGAAGAAUAAAUGACGGUACUAUUUAUAAGGUCCGGCUAACUACGUGCCAGCAGCCGCGGUAAU